rnacentral:rRNA from 1 species
UAGGGAAUAUUGGGCAAUGGAGGGAACUCUGACCCAGCCAUGCCGCGUGCAGGAUGAAGGCGUUAUGCGUUGUAAACUGCUUUUUAUAUAGGAAGAAAUAGUCCUUGCGAGGAAAGUUGACGGUACUAUAUGAAUAAGCACCGGCUAACUCCGUGCCAGCAGCCGCGGUAAUACGGAGGGUGCAAGCGUUGUCCGGAUUUAUUGGGUUUAAAGGGUGCGUAGGCGGUUUAUUAAGUCAGUGGUGAAAGACGGUCGCUCAACGAUUGCAGUGCCAUUGAUACUGGUAGACUUGAGUAUGAUUGAGGUAGCUGGAAUGGAUAGUGUAGCGGUGAAAUGCAUAGAUAUUAUCCAGAACACCAAUUGCGUAGGCAAGUUACUAAGUCAUAACUGACGCUGAGGCACGAAAGUGUGGGUAUCAAACAGGAUUAGAUACCCAAGUAGUCCCUGAGCGGGCUGGCAAGGCGCAU